GCACAUGAAAGCAGGCUCGAUGCGUGCGCAGUGUGUGCUUUCUCUUUUGAGAGAUGUGAAGGCGUGCGAGGCUUCAACUGCGCUUAACUUCGACCUGCUGUGACAUUCCUGGUUCUUGUGGGCGUUGCUGCGCUGAUAGCUACCGGCGACGUUGCUCAACUUUGGGAAGUAGGGGGAUCUGUUGUGAGAGCUGAGAAGGAAUGCGCGGGGUUGAUGUCUAUUCCUCUUGUGUUUUUCUCCUCGGAACAGUGUCGUGACUUCGGUCAACCUGCGGUGUCCAUCAGCGUUAUCGGAUCUACGCGUGCACACGACAGUAGCCUGACCAUGCAGCAUGAUGUGCAGUGGCAGCUCUGCCUCUAACAGCCCGUUUACCUGUGUUGAAACGGAGCAAGGUUGCACGUCGUGCCUGUGCAGAAGCUCCAUGAGUAGCCGCCGCGCGUAACGCUGGCUCUCCAUGGAGGACUGCUGGAGAAGCCGCUCAUCACAACCCACACUUUAAGACAGUGAGUGACACUUGAAACAAGAUGAGUCAGGACCAGGACGGGAUAUCUUUACCGGUGCCUUGCUUCGGUGCUCGUCCCGGCACAGAGAACAUCUGCGUUGAAAGCUCGAGCAGCAGCGGUGGUGGAGUUGGCGGCUCCUUCGGGAUCCCCGCAGCUGGGACUUUCUGGCACGACUCGGUGGUCGGCGGCGGGGGGCUCAGCCCGAGCGCCGACAGUUGUCCGAUGGACGGCGGGGGCUUGCUCUCCACCGGGAAGUCGUGCAAAAGCAGACCUGUGACGGUGGCCUAUGUGGUAAACGGUGAGGCGAGCCAGCAGAAUAACGCUGAGAGCAUGGCCCUGCAGUGUCUGAAGGACGCCUGCGAUACGGUGGGCAGCAAGCUGGAGACGGUGAACUUUGGUAAACUGGACUUCGGGGAGACCACGGUCCUGGACCGCUUCUACAAUGCAGACAUAGCUGUUGUGGAGAUGACGGAUGCCUUCCGCCAGCCUUCGCUCUUCUACCACCUGGGAGUCAGAGAGAGCUUCAGCAUGGCCAACAACAUCAUCCUGUACUGUGACACUAACUCCGACUCCCUCCAGUCCCUGCAGGAGAUAAUUUGCCAGAAGAACACUACUUGCUCAGCCAACUACGCCUUCAUCCCGUACAUGGUGACACCCCACAACAAGGUGUACUGCUGUGAGGGCAGCCUGAUGAAGGGCCUGACCGAGCUGAUGCAGCCCAGCUUCGAGAUGCUGUUGGGACCCAUCUGCAUGCCGCUUCUCGAUCGCUUCAUCCAGCUGCUAAAAGAGUCUCAGGCAAACUCCCACCUGUAUUUCCGUGAGACGAUUCUGAAUGAGAUUCGUAAGGCUCGGGAGUUGUACACUGGCAUGGAGCUUGCAGCCGAGCUGAACCGCAUUCAACAGCGGCUGGACAAUGUGGAAUGCCUUUCAGUUGACAUCGUCAUCAACCUGCUGCUGACAUACAGGGACAUCCAGGAUUAUGAGUCUGUCGUGAAGCUGGUGGAGACGCUGGAGAAGCUACCAACCUUUGACCCUGUGGCACAUCCACAUGUGAAGUUCCACUAUGCCUUCGCACUGAAUAGGAGGAACCUGCCGGGCGACAGACAGAAGGCUUUGGACAUAAUGCUGCCUCUGGUGGAGGACGAGGAGCAGGUAGCCUCGGACAUCUACUGCCUGGUGGGACGGAUCUAUAAGGACAUGUUCCUAGAGUCUCACUUCACAGACACGCAGAGUAGAGACCUCGGCACACACUGGUUUAAAAAGGGGUUUGAGUCAGAGCCAACACUACACUCUGGUAUCAACUAUGCUGUUCUACUCCUGGCAGCCGGACAACAGUUCGACACAUCAUUUGAGCUUCGCAAAGUGGGAGUGAAGCUGAGCAGCCUGUUGGGGAAAAAAGGCAGCCUGGACAAGCUGCAGAGUUACUGGGAUGUAGGCUUCUUCCUGGGUGCCAGCAUCCUGGCCUGCGACAACACCAGGGUCAUCCAGGCCUCUGAGAAACUAUUUAAACUCAAAGCCCCCGUCUGGUAUCUGCGCUCGCUGGUGGAAACCAUCUUGAUCUAUAAACAGUUUAAGAAACCCGGCACGGAGCAGCCGAGCUCCAAGCAGGAGCUGUUGGACUUCUGGAUGGACUUUCUGGUGGAGGCCACCAAGAAAGACGUCUCCUCUGUCCGAUUUCCUGUGUUGAUAUUAGAGCCCACUAAAGUCUACCAGCCUUCAUAUUUGUCCAUAAACAAAGAUGUAGAUGACAACACCGUGUCUAUCUGGCAUGUUGCUCCUGACGACAAGCACAAGGGGAUUCAUGAGUGGAACUACAGCGCCACAUCAAUACGAGGUGUCAGCAUCUCCAAGUUUGAUGAGCGCAGUGCCUUCCUCUACGUUCUUCACAAUGCAGAGGACUUCCAGAUCUAUUUCUGUACAGAGAUGCACUGUAAAAGAUUCUGCGAUCUGGUCAACAGCCUAACAGAGGAGGCCUGGAAAGGUCCAGAGGAGGGAGACUGCGAAGCUGACACCCUAGAGUACGACUAUGAGUACGAUGAGCAUGGAGAGCGGGUGGUUCUGGGAAAAGGCACAUUUGGAGUGGUGUACGCAGGCCGAGACCUCAGCAACCAGGUGCGACUGGCCAUCAAAGAAAUACCAGAGAGAGACAGCAGGUACUCUCAGCCACUCCACGAGGAGAUCGCUCUUCACAAGCACUUAAAGCACAAGAAUAUCGUCCAGUACCUCGGGUCCCUCAGCGAGAACGGCUUCAUAAAAAUCUUCAUGGAGCAGGUGCCUGGAGGGAGUCUUUCUGCACUGCUGAGGUCCAAGUGGGGCCCUCUGAAAAAUAACGAGCCCACCAUCGGCUUUUACACACGGCAGAUCCUGGAGGGACUUAAGUACCUGCAUGAAAACCAGAUCGCACAUAGAGACAUCAAGGGCGAUAAUGUUCUCAUCAACACCUACAGUGGCGUCCUAAAGAUAUCAGAUUUUGGUACAUCCAAAAGGUUGGCUGGGAUCAACGCCUCCACAGAGACUUUCACAGGCACACUACAGUACAUGGCUCCUGAAAUCAUAGACAAGGGUCCUCGGGGAUACGGCAAGCCAGCAGACAUCUGGUCUCUGGGCUGCACCAUCAUAGAGAUGGCAACUGGGAAACCACCUUUCUAUGAACUAGGAGAACCACAGGCCGCUAUGUUCAAGGUGGGCAUGUUUAAGAUCCAUCCUGAGAUCCCAGAGUCCAUGUCGCCGGAGGCCAAAGCCUUCAUCCUGCGCUGCUUUGAGCCCGACCCAGACAAGCGUGCCACCGCUCUCGACCUGCUCACAGACGAGUUCCUCACCGUCACCAGCCGCAAGAAGAAAAGCAAGAGUUGCUUCACGGCUCUGUCACCAGGGUCAGAGUACCUCCGCAGUAUAUCCCUGCCAGUGCCGGUGGUGGUGGAGGACACGAGCAGCAGCAGUGAGUACGGCUCUGUCUCCCCUGACAACGACCUCAACACUGACCCCUUCAUCUUCAAGCCUAGCGUCAAGUGCUACAGCGAGAGGGAUGUCAAGGGGCCUAGGUCACUCUUCCUCAGCAUUCCAGUGGAGAACUUUGAGGACCACAGUGCACCUCCGUCCCCUGAUGAGAAGGAUUCAGGCUUCUUUAUGCUUCGGAAGGACAGCGAGAGACGAGCCACCCUACACCAAAUCCUGACCGAGGACCGGAACAAGGUGGUGGCCAACCUGAUGGAGGCCCUCACGCAGGGCUCUGAGAUAAUGAAGCUGAAGCCUCAGCACAUCUCCACCCUCGUGGUCAGUCUGGCUGACUUUGUUCGCAUGGCAGACAGGAAAAUCAUCGCCAACACGCUGUCUCAACUCAAGCUGGAGCUGGACUUUGACAGCACUGCCAUCAGCCAGCUGCAGGUUGUGCUGUUUGGCUUCCAAGAUGCUGUGAACAAAGUGCUGCGAAACCACAACAUCAAGCCUCACUGGAUGUUCGCUCUGGACAAUAUCAUCCGCAAAGCUGUGCAGACGGCCAUCACAAUCCUGGUUCCAGAGCUGAGGCCUCACUUCAGUCUGGCAUCAGAAAGUGACCCGGCCGACCAGGACGACGAUGACGACGAUGCUGAGCCAGAGAGAAGCUCCACCCACCAGAGCCGGGUGACUCCUGUGGCAACUCACGACGACACCGUGGUCACCUCAGGAGUCAGCACGCUCAGCUCUACCGUCUCACACGAGUCCCAUAAUGUACAGCGCUCCGUGAGCAUGGAACUGGGUCGGAUGAAGCUGGAGACCAACAGGCUGCUGGAACAGCUGCUGGAGAAGGAGAGAGAGUAUCAGGCCAUCCUGCAACAAGUGCUGGAAGAAAGAGAGCAGGAGAUCAGACUACUGAGGCUGCGAUCUGAGCUCACAGACGUCCCCACAUCAUCAGAUAGUCAAGAGGAACAGACUAUUCAACAUGCAGAGAGCCAUGAAGAUCUGACCAGCUGGCUGCGGCUUUAUGGUGCUGACCAGGACUCCAUAGACACAAUACUGAAUGAGGAAUACACGUUGAACGACAUCCUCCAUGAUGUAACAAGAGACGAUCUGAAGAGUUUAAGACUGAGUGGUAGUAUCUAAAAAGACGUGGUGGCAGACAGCAACAUGCAGUGAUUUGUUCUCCAGGGUAUCUGCGGGUCUUCAAAAGAAUUUAAAAUACUUUCGUCUUAGAAAGUAUUAAAAUAGGUGGGAUCCUGUGUAAACUAUGGAAGGCCAUAACAGACUACAGGCAGAAGCCAACCUGAGGCCUUAAGUGGCAACAACCACUCAGAAGCCAGGACCUUUGUCCCAACAACUCAGUAUUCUCCUCUUUACCUCAGUAUUUAUAAGAGCAAGACUUUUAGGAGAAGACCCUGUGGUUGUCGUGUGCACAGAGCAGCUUUCCACCCACGCAAGAAACUCUUUGAUUGGUCUUGUCAGAGUAUUUUGAUAAUAUUUGGGUCACUUUGAAAGCAACAAUUACUGAGAGGUGCCACUAGUUUUGCUAUGUCUGAUGGAGAUUACUCAGCUUUUUGUUACAGGUGCGUUGGAAAUGGCAAUUGGUGGGAAAAUCUAUUGUUAAAAUCUUGAAAACUGUCAUUUUUUCCUGUCUUUACAAGAUGUAACGUUUACAAAACUGGAAACUGAUUGUUUUCUAACACAAGCCUGAGAUACAAAAUACUACAUUCAAAAUCAUCUGUACUAAUGUUUUUAUCAUAGGCAUCUGAUCACUACUUUAUUUAAAUGUAUUUUUAAUUUAAUUGUUAUGGUAAUCUGAAGGAUGCCAGUGCAUGUCCUGUUUUUAUUUUAUUUUUUAUCCUUACUGAUACUUAUUUAAAUUGCUUUUUCACUUUUCCUUUUAUAACACAAGUCUACCUUUUUAUUUUUCAGAAUCUUGUAAAUAUUACAAACAUAUAGUUGUAGAAUCAUAUGUGAAUGACAUUUAUGUACUUAAAAAAUACAUUGAUAAACAUCUCCAUGUGGAUUGGACCAAGUCUAUAAUGAACACAUUUGAAAAAUGAAUUGUAAAGUAUUGUAUACUCUGGUGUCACACAUCACACAAGAUAAUAUUCAGUUAGUAAUUAAUAUAAUUAAUUUGCUCUGUUUUAAUUGUUGUACACUGACAAAACCGUGCUUAUCUUGCUUGUGUAUAUAUCAUUAUAUCAGAUGUAUGUUGUAAUGAAAAAUCUGAAACAAAUUUCAUACGGAAGAGCCUUUACCUUUUUUAUUAUUAUUUUAAAACAGAUGUCAGAAAUGGGGAAAAUAAUCAUGAGCAGUGUGUCUGUUUUGUUCCGUAUCUACUCAGUUAUUCAAGAUCUUUGUGUCAUAUUGUUAAAAAUAAAACUUUUUAUCUUGAAACUGUGAAAAAAAAA